AUGGAGGCGCAGCCUGUACCCACAGCUGCUGAGAUGCGGGACCACAGGAGACAGAUUGGAGAGUGUUCCCGCAGCUCGCUCCCUGCGCCUCGUCGCCUGCAUAGAGAGCAGCAAGAGUGCAACGGUUUGCAGUCUGAGGCAGAAGCCUUGGGCCUGACGAGUGCGGGAAGAGAGAGAGGAGACAUGCGUGCAGAGGCACGGUCUGCACCCACGGCUGCGGAGCUGCGGGGCCCCAGGAGACAGAGUGGAAAGUGUUCCUCCAGCGGAAAGAGUGCCCCUACGAUGCACAUCGAGCCCUCUGGCUGCGCAGCACUUAGCGUGCCUCCGUCAGAGUCUCCCAAAGAGCCUGAACAGCUACGGAAGCUCUUCAUCGGAGGUUUGAGUUUUGAAACAACGGAGAGUCUGAGGAGCCAUUUUGAGCAAUGGGGAAUGCUCACAGACUCUGUGGUGAUGAGAGACCCAAACACCAAGCACUCCAGAGGCUUUGGGUUUGUCACCUAUGCCACUGUGGAGGAGGUGGAUGCAGCCAUGAAUGCAAGGCCACACAAGGUGGAUGGAAGAGUUGUGGAACCAAAGAGGGCUGUCUCAAGAGAAGAUUCCCAAAGAACUGGAGCCCACUUAACUGUGAAAAAGAUUUUUGUUGGUGGUAUUAAAGAAGACACUGAAGAACAUCACCUAAGAGAUGAUUUUGAGCAGUGUGGGACAUUGAAGUGAUGGAAAUCAUGACUGACCAAGGCAGUGGCAAGAAGAGAGGCUUUGUUUUUGUAACCUUUGAUGACCAUGACUCUGUAGACAAGAUUGUCAUUCAGAAAUACCAUACUGUGAAUGCCCACAACUGUGAAGUAAGGAAAGCCCUAUCUAAGCAAGAGAUGGCUAGUGCUUCAUCUAGUCAAAGAGGUCGAAGUGGUUCUGGAAACUUCGGUGGUGGUCAAGGAGGUGGUUUUGGUGGGAAUGACAACUUUGGUUGUGGAGGAAACUUAAGUGGUCGAGGUGGCUUUGGUGGCAGUCGUGGUGGUGGAGGAUAUGGUGGCAAUGGGGAUGGCUAUAAUGGAUUUGGUAAUGAUGGAAGCAAUUUUGGAGGUGGUGGAAGCUACAAUGAUUUUGGCAGUUAUAACAAUCAGUCUUCAAAUUUUGGGCCCAUGAAAGGAGGAAACUUGGGAGGCAGAAGCUCUGGCCCCUAUGGUGGUAGAGGCCAAGGCUUUGCCAAACCACAAAACCAAGGUGGCUAUGGCGGUUCCAGCACAGCAGUAGCUAUGGCAGUGGCAGGAGGUUUUAAUCACUGCCAGGAAAUAAAGCUUAGCAGGAGAGGAGAGCCAGAGAAGUGACAGGGAAGCUACAGGUUACAACAGAUUUGUGAACUCAGCCAAGCACAGUGGUGGCAGGGCCUAGCUGCUACAAAGAAGACAUGUUUUAGACAAUACUCAUGUGUAUGGGCAAAAAAACUUGAGGACUGUAUUUGUGACUAAUUGUAUAACAGGUUAUUUUAGUUUCUGUUCUGUGGAAAGUAUAAAGCAUUCCAACCAAGGGUUUUAAUGUAGAUUUUUUUUUUGCACCCAUGCUGUUGGUUGCUAAAUGUAAUAGUCUGAUCAUGACGCUGAAU